UACGAACGGUGCAAGCGUUACUCGGAAUCACUGGGCGUAAAGCGCACGUAGGCGGACUUACAGGUCAAUUGUGAAAUACCUGAGCUCAACUCAGGAACUGCAGUUGAAACCGUUUGUCUUGAAUACCUGAGAGGGUGGGGGAAUACCUGGUGGAGAAGUGAAAUUCGUAGAGAUCAGGUGGAACACCGGAGGCGAAGGCGCCUGCCUGGCAGUGUAUUGACGCUGAGGUGCGAAAGCCAGGGGAGCGAACGGG
rnacentral:rRNA from 1 species